rnacentral:sRNA from 12 species
UUGCGCCUGCGGCGGACCCGGCACGGAUUUAUCACAGCGCUUCGCAGGCAGCCUGUCCGUGUACGGCCCGGUACAUCCCGGAAUUUUCCGGGCUUUAAUGUCUUCU